UCUCCCGCGCCGGGGUUGGGGACCCACCGCCCUCGCCGAGCGUCAGGGGGGAUGGGCUCUUAACUGUCCCGGGUUACAAAGAGUUAAAGAGCUGAAAGGACUUGUCCUGACCCCUUCCUCUCGGCACUUACGGAAAGGAGGCAGGGGCCAAAGGUACCGGCCAGCCCGAAGGGAGCCCUCACGGCACUUAAAUGCUUUAGAAGUCAAGUUCUUUGGGCUGCCUGCAGAGGGCGCUAGGACAGAAACUGUUGACUUUCCAUCCACCCAUUUCUAUUUUAAGAGUUUGUGGAAGAACUCAAGACCCCUCAGUGGCUGUUCCUACCCACUUGGUGGCCUGAGCAGUGGGAGCUGCAGACCAGUCUUCAGUGGCAGGCUAAGCAUUCAGAAUUAGUAUAGGGAACCGCCGGAUGGACACGGAGGCACCGAUCUGCCACCACAGGAUCUCUCUGGAAGCAGAGGUCAGGCGUGGCCUCCCGUGGGCGUGCACGGGAGAUGAUGCCACGCAGGCACGUGCAGAACCUCCCGGGGGACCAUCCACCACGUCAGACCCACGGGUGAGCUCCCCUGUUGCUGCCCAGGUGGCAAUGUCCACACAGCACAGGGGAGAGGCUUGUCACAGAGAGCACUGGUAGGCAGGUGAACUAAGAGGUCCCUGUGAGAGGCUGGUGGUCAGCUGGGAGAGGUUUUGGUUCCCAGAAGGCUGCCUGGACGUGGUUCGUGAAGGUUCCAGGAGUGAAAUGGCAGCAACAGGAGUGGCUCCAGGGGCAACAGCAACCUUGAGCCCAGCUCACGGCCAGUGGUCCUGGAGGAUCUCAUACUGACAUGAGCUGGGUUUUCAAUGGCAACGGUGGCACAAGCUGCCAGCAGACGCUUCUCCCAAGUCCCCUUCAGAUUCAUGAAUGAGAAGCCGUCGCUUUUCCUUCCGUAGACGGACGGUUGCACUUGGACGUCCGGGUCAGCGCCACCUCGGGGGGGUCCCUGCUGCAGGGGAUUGGAGGACCUGCUCCUCUUUCAUUUGCAUCAAGGGCUCUGGCCACCGUGACCGUUUCCCUUUCAGUUACGGUGGGAAUCGAGAACCAUGCCGUACCGACCCUGUCCGGGCAGCGUGGAAAGGGUCUUUGCUUUUUUAAAAUGUGGUUGACGUCGAGUUGAUCUACACCGUGGCGUUCAUUUCUGCUCUUCAGCAGAGUGACUCCGUUAUGCGUGUACCCACAUCCGUUCUCUUUCGGAGUCUUUUCCCACCUAGGUUAUCAUAGCACUUUGGCAGGUUCCUCCAGGCUGUACAGCAGGUCCCUACACAAUUGCAUAUACAGUAGCAUCCCAUGUGCUGUAUUUUGCUGGGACGGGCAGUGUAGUGACGGGUUUAUCAGUCAGUUCCUGCCCGGGGCCCCUCAUCCAUGCCGGGUCCUGCCGUGAGGUGAGAGGGCCCAGCAGCCGUCCUAAGAGAGUGGAGCCGGGUUCGAGGAGGGCGAGGCAAAAGGUGUAGCAAGCUGGAGCCCAGCUGGCUCAGAGCCCCCAUGCCACCUGCACUGUUGUGCCAGUGCCUCUAGCCACACUGGGCUCCUGCGAUCAGCGGGUGGGUGGGCAGAAAGUGGACGAUGCCAGCCUCCCGCACAGAGGCCAGCAGGAGACUGUGAGUCCCAGGCUGGUCGGCAUCAGUCCCCACCCCCAAGUUCUGCAGAAGUGGUGUGAGGGGCUCGGGGGAUGCUCACCGCCCACGCCACAGGGUGCACACGGACUGGGAAGGAGCAGGGUGCAAUCCUCACCUUGGUCCAGGGUGAGCUUCCUCAGGUCUCAAGGUUACAGCUGUGGGAACAACCUGAGGACGUGCCUCGCAGCCUUGGCAUGUUAGCAAGACCUGCAGUGAGCCAGAGCCCGGGGGUCCCGCCCCCACAGGGGGCGCCUGCUCCUCCGCUCUGUGUGGACUCACUGGUGCGCAGGAAUGGCCCGACCCUCCGGCGGGCGUCCUGAGAGGAGACCGGAGAUGCGGGGACAAGGUCUAGAAGAGGCCCUGGGCGGGGAGCCCCGCGGGGCAGAGCUUCCCGUACCCCACGCCCACAGCGGGGCUACCGGGGCAUCCAGCACAGGCGGAGCACGGGACAGCCUUAGAGGGCGAGGCCUCGGCCACGCGACGGCCACCAGCCUCGGUCUUCAGCCAGCCUGCUGCGGGCUGGCGGGUCAGAGAUGGGGUGGCCCCGUGGCUGGGACGGAGGCUGUGUGCCACACCCGGGGACGCACGGUGGUUUGGUCCAGGGGCACAGAGUCCCACCUGAGAGACCCGCUCAGGGGCCCUGUGCUAUCCGGCCCCGGCUGCCUCGGCUCGCGCCGCACUUCCCGGCACACACCCCGCCGGUCCUCAUGACCUUCCUGUUGAUCCGCAGACACUUGGCCUGAGUUCGCCGUGGGCCUCUGUGCCUGCCCUUCCCUGGUCCAGAUGCCUUGGGUGGUUCUGGCUCCACCCGCUUCUUCCUCCGGGCCCUGCUCAGCCAGGCCUUCCCACCGCCCUGACACUGACCGGUGACCUCCAGCUCCUGCGCCCCUGAACUCGUCACUGUUGAGCACGGCCCGAGACGGCUUCUGUCAUUCUCCCCCAGCCGGCGAGUCUGGGCUCCUCUUUUCCCUGGAGCCCCAGCCCCUAGGCAGGGUCUGCCCGUGGAGAGGCUUCAGGAGAGGCCUGCGGGCUGGCUGACUGACCUGCCGCAUGGUCAGCAGGUAUCUUUAGAGCCAGCUCUGGCAGGUCCCCAAGUCCCCACUCCCUCAUCGUCCGCUGGGGGGAGAAGUCCCCCCCCCCACUGGGUUGCAAGGACUGCAAAUGGAUGUGGGGGAUUCGGGGGGGGUGCUCGGCAGGGGUCACCUAAGUGAAAGAAUGAGCCCCUCUGCCCUCCCUUGCCAACAGGUGACCGUGGCCAGUGAGGAGAGUGGCCGGGACUGACGGAGUCUGUGGCAAACUGUUGCAGGAAGAGGGCCCCCUUCCAGGGCCGAGUGUGGGCUCUUGUCUAACACUCAGAAAUGAAUUUUUGGGAGUUCCCGUCGUGGCACAGUGGUUC